rnacentral:rRNA from 1 species
CCCUUAGAUGUCCGGGGCCGCACGCGCGCUACACUGAAGGAAUCAGCGUGGCUUUCUCCCUGACCCGAAAGGGUUGGGAAACCCGUUGAAUCUCCUUCGUGAUAGGGAUUGGGGCUUGAAAUUGUUCCCCAUGAACGAGGAAUUCCCAGUAAGCGCGAGUCAUAAGCUCGCGUUGAUUACUUCCCUGCCCUUUGUACACACCGCCCGUCGCUACUACCGAUUGAACGGUUUAGUGAGGGCCUCGGAUUGGUCUCGGCCCGCUCUUUACCGGGCGGCGCCGUUGGUCGAGAAGACGCUCGAACUUGAUCGUUUAGAGGAAGUAAAAGUCGUAACA